CCUACGGGAGGCAGCAGUGAGGAAUAUUGGUCAAUGGGCGCGAGCCUGAACCAGCCAAGUCGCGUGAGGGAAGACGGUCCUAUGGAUUGUAAACCUCUUUUGUCGGGGAGCAAAAGACGCCACGCGUGGCGUUCCGAGAGUACCCGAAGAAAAAGCAUCGGCUAACUCCGUGCCAGCAGCCGCGGUAAUACGGCGGAUGCGAGCGUUAUCCGGUUUUAUUGGGUUUAAAGGGUGCGCAGGCGGAAGAUCAAGUCAGCGGUAAAAGUGAGAGGCUCAACCUCUUCGAGCCGUUGAAACUGGUUUUCUUGAGUGAGUGAGAAGUAUGCGGAAUGCGUGGUGUAGCGGUGAAAUGCAUAGAUAUCACGCAGAACUCCGAUUGCGAAGGCAGCAUACCGGCGCUCAACUGACGCUCAUGCACGAAAGUGUGGGUAUCGAACAGGAUUAGAUACCCUUGUAGUC
rnacentral:rRNA from 1 species